UACGUAGGGUGCAAGCGUUAUCCGGAAUCACUGGGUGUAAAGGGUGUGUAGGCGGGUUUGUGCGUCAGAGGUUAAAGACCCAGGCUUAACUUGGGAAAUGCCUUUGAUACGGCAAGCCUUGAGUAUGAGAGAGGAAGAUGGAAUUCCUGGUGUAGAAGUGAAAUUCGUAGAUAUCAGGAGGAACACCGGUGGCGAAGGCGGUCUUCUGGCUCAUUACUGACGCUGAGGCACGAAAGCGUGGGGAUCAAACAGG
rnacentral:rRNA from 1 species